AGUUUGGAUUCUUGAGUUAGAAGACAAAAAUGAAGGUAGCAUUGAAGCAUUUGCAACUUUCUCUAGGUCUCUGAAUGAGUUGAGAGCCAAAUACAAAUCUUCUGAUUUUAAAUCAAACACUGGUCUUGUAUGGGGUCUUGUCACUGCAUUUUCUGAGGUACACUCUGGAGAGUUCAAAGUUUCUGUUAAAGAGGAUACCUUGCCAGGCCAAUUAAAUUUCCAGCCUUAUGCUGGCUGCCUUGUUGAAGACUUCAUUUCUGAAAUUCAUUACCAUGUUGGUCAAUACUCCCCAGAUGAAGUGUAUGUCCUGAAUGUCUGUGGCACUGGCGAAUAUUUGCAAAACUCUUAUGCACUUGGAAGUCAUGAAACACUUCAGACAUACCAAAAAUAUGAUACUGAUAUCAGGCUGCAGCUACUAAAAUAUAGUUCGAUACAGG